rnacentral:rRNA from 1 species
GACGAACGCUGGCGGCGUGCUUAACACAUGCAAGUCGAACGGAAAGGCCCUGCUUUUGUGGGGUGCUCGAGUGGCGAACGGGUGAGUAACACGUGAGUAACCUGCCCUUGACUUUGGGAUAACUUCAGGAAACUGGGGCUAAUACCGGAUAGGAGCUCCUGCUGCAUGGUGGGGGUUGGAAAGUUUCGGCGGUUGGGGAUGGACUCGCGGCUUAUCAGCUUGUUGGUGGGGUAGUGGCUUACCAAGGCUUUGACGGGUAGCCGGCCUGAGAGGGUGACCGGCCACAUUGGGACUGAGAUACGGCCCAGACUCCUACGGGAGGCAGCAGUGGGGAAUAUUGCACAAGGGGCGGAAGCCUGAUGCAGCAACGCCGCGUGCGGGAGGACGGCCUUCGGGUUGUAAACCGCUUUCGCCUGUGACGAAGCGUGAGUGACGGUAAUGGGUAAAGAAGCACCGGCUAACUACGUG